GUUGAAAAUGUCAACCUUGAGGAGUUGGGGAAUACAAUCAUCUGCAGUUCGGACUGGCUCUAUCCCAGACCUACUCUUAGCUGGAACAUCAUUUCCACCAUAGUUCCUCAGGAAACACCUGUCAUCUCAGAGAAUGAGCAAAAACUGUACAAAAUCAACAGCUCUAUAACUCUCCCAGCUAAUUUUACUGAUGCUUACAGCUGCACCAUCAGCACAACCAACAGCCUCAGUUACACUGCGUAUAUGCAAGCUCAUAAAAACUCUUCCCACAAUGAAGCAAGACUUGACUGCCAGCCUGUCAAUACUCCCCUCAACUAUUUCACCUGGAGAUUCAACCACAGUCAGCUCAUCCUCACAUGGAACAAAACAUCUCAUCAGGCUACAGAGGGAUGGAAAUCACAUGUAAACGAUGUCUCAAGCAAUGGAAGCCUCUGGCUAAAAGAUCUCACUUCCAACCAGGAGGGAAUGUACACCUGUCAGUCUGGUAACAAUGACGGAGAAUCUGAAAAAAGCACGGUUUUGAACAUCAUAAAUGAUGGCGGGAGUAACACUACAGGCAUUGUUGUAGGAGUGAUUUGUGGACUAGCAGUGCUCGCAUUAAUUGUAUUUCUGGUCAUUCAUUUCC